ensembl:lncRNA
GUACGUGUGUAUGGAGCCAUUGGGUGCGGUCACUAUAGCAACCAGGCUCACACCUGCCUGCUUAACGAGCUCUGCCUGCCACUGUACCAAGAUUCAUCUUAAGCACUUCUCUUUCAACUGCUGCUGUGUCCACAGUGUUACAGCCAUCAUUUUACCCUCAAAUUGUCGCCAUUAUUGUUCUCUUUCCAACACCGUAUCUUUCAAAGCUCAGGCAUUUAAACUUUUUAAACUGUGUGGAUCAAAGUGGAGGGAUCACAUUUUAGUCAUUCAGUGAUUCAAAGAAUAUGACCUUUUAAUAUUCAUUCAGAUGUUUUCUGACUCUAAAUGUUCUUUUCUCAUUUCUUAGGGUUUUCUAAUUUACAUUUAAAACAUUUUCAGUUUUUUUCCAACUCCUUCUUCUGUGUAACCUUCAGCUUUUAGCAGUUCAGCACCUUUGUUUUCAGGUUAAAUUCGUUUUUUUUUUUUGUUUUGUUUUUUAUCUCAUUCAAUAUUUUUAACUCAAAAUUCAGCAAUUUAUUCAUUUCAGUGCAUACAUUCAGAUUCAAGCAUUCACACUGCAGUUUCUUCAGAAAAUGCACUUUCUAGUUAGUGUGAAUGCUUGAAAAGCAUUCACAGUAUUGUUCUUCUAAUCUUUAUUAUUAUUAGUGUGAAUGCUUGAAAAGCAUUCACAGUAUUGUUCUUCUAAUCUUUAUUAUUAUUAUUAUAUUUUAUUUUUCCGUACGUUUUUUGAAAGCCUACUCCUUCAAAACCGUUCAACUUAGAAAAACCAUUCAAACACCGUUAGAUUCCUAUUCUUUUGGACAACAUUGCUUCUAUUUUUCUCAUUUUUAACAUUUAUAUUUUUAAUUUUAUUCAACUUUUUUCAACAAAAAUUUAUAAUGUAUUUCAAUGGGGAGACCCUUCAAAUUCUCAUUCAACUUACUCAUUUUUAAACUCUUACUACUUCAACAUACGUUGACAUAGAGCCACCAUUCAAACUUUAAAACGAAGACAAGACAUUCAACUAUUCAACUUGUAUUUAUCUUUUCAAUAUCUAUUAUACUUUUUCUUCAGUUCCAGUUUAAGUUUCAUGAUGUUUUUUCACCCGUUUCAGAGUUUAUAAUGGGUGUGUAUGGGACGGAAUGUUGGGGCUAGAGUGAGGCAGCUCAACUGCUAGAGUGAGAGGAGCAAAAAAAUUAAUCUUAAAAUCUUUUUUAAAACUGCUGCUGUGUCCGCAGCGUUUGCUCUACAGGUAUGAUUUUACCCUCAAAACGUAGCCAUCGCUGUCCUCUUUCAUCCAAUGUGUUUACUAUUGUCCUAGGUGUUAUGGUUCUUUCAUAAAUGUCACCAAUGCACAGCCUCCUCCCUCCAACUCUUCCAUAGACUCUAAUGUUAAAAUGGCUCAGAAGGUUCGUUUGAAAAUCAGAAGAGCAUGGUGUCUUUCCACUGUCACCACGUCCAUAUAAUAAACUCCACAGGCAUGAAAACUGAGAAUUCAGUAGACUAGACAUUGCUGUCGCUCACGGUGAAAGAAUUUUGUCAAUACGACUUUUACUUUUCAUUUGGGAACGAUUUGUUUCGGCCUGACUUUUCUGUUCAUUUUAAGCAGCAAAAGUGAGGCGCAUGUCUGUGUACGUGUGUAUGGAGCCAUUGGGUGCGGUCACUAUAGCAACCAGGCUCACACCUGCCUGCUUAACGAGCUCUGCCUGCCACUCUGCCAAGAUUCAUCUUAAACACUUCUCUUUCAACUGCUGCUGUGUCCACAGUGUUACAGCCAUCAUUUUACCCUCAAAACGUCGCCAUCGUUGUUCUUUUUCCAACAUCUUGUCUUUCAAAGCUCAGAGAUGUAAACUUUUUAAACUGUGUGGGUCCAAGUGGAGGGAUCACAUUUUAGUCAUUCAGUGAUUCAAAGAAUAUGACCUUUUAAUAUUCUUUCAGAUGUUUUCUGACUCUAAAUGUUCUUUUCUCAUUUCUUAGGUUUUUCUAAUUUACAAUUAAAACAUUUUCAGCUUUUUUCCAACUUCUUCUUCUGUGUAACCUUCAGCUUUUAGCAGUUCAGCACUUUUGUUUUCAGGUUAAAUUCGGUUGUUUUUUUUUUUUUUUUUAUCUCAUUCAAGAUUUUUAACUUAAAUUCAGUAAUUAAUUCAUUUCAGUGCAUACAUUCAGAUUCAAGCAUUCACACUGCAGUUUCUUCAGAAAAUGCACUUUCUAGUUCUUCUUUAGGUUUUUAGAGAACAAGUCUGGGAGACUCUCUUAGAAUCAGAAUCAGAAGGGUUAGAGAAUAAGCGAGACUAUACAAAAGACAUGAGAUGCCAAGCAGGAAAGAUAAGGGAGAGGGAGAAAGUGCGACGCCUCCGUCAAGAGCCAAACAUAACCAACACUGUCAUAAAUUCUUGACAUCAGCAGUUAAAUGGAAUGAAAUCGGCGACUCAGUAUUGGGUGAUUUUUCAGUUCCGACGAUUUAAUCCAAGUUUGCUCGGCUAACGCUAUCCUAGGAUAUUGGUGCACUUGUGCUCUUUUCACUGUAUUUCCACAGUAUUCUAAUUUAUUUAAUGAAAUAUUGAUAUCUGGUGUCCCUGUAUUGAUACAAUAUUGCAAAUUAACACAAUACGAUGGCUGUAUUGAUAUGCCACAAAAAUUUCACCAUGUAGUGGCACAGAUUUGUAGAAGCUUCUUCCCACAUGUUAAACCACACAGACGCAGCUAUACAAACAUGUUCCACUUAUGGUGCAAGAGCUCAAUUGUGACCACGCUUUUAAAUGUUUAUGGACACUGCAGUUGUUACUGUCAGCACAGUCUGUGUGUCAAAAGCUACAUCAGAGUUGCCCUUGUUCAUUGCACACAGGCCUCGAGGGAGAAUUCAGCCGAGACAGAAAUGGUAAGAUAAAUUC